rnacentral:lncRNA from 1 species
ACAAUUACUAAAGACAAUGUUGCACUUCCAGCCAAUGCAGCUAUGUGGCGAAGAACUGCUAGUAGAAGACUACCUACUACAUGCAGAGAAUUUUGUUUCCUGGCUCAUAGUUUUGGAUGAAGCUAUGGUGUUUGGAAUGAGCUAGACAGGGGAGGGGGAGCAGACGAGAGAAUCAAUGCCCAGAGGAAUGCAGGACAGAACUGUGUGAUUUCCUUCUAAGCUCAGCUCCAUUUGGGAGCACAACAAUGAAUUCCAAGGCAGGGAAUUGUUCACAGUGAGUGAGAUAUUCAAAGAAAAUGAAACUAACAGGAUACAGAUGUCAAAGCAAGUCAAAGAAAAAAUUUGAAAUGAAUUAAACCAAGCUCCACAAUAUUACUUGAUUGCUAUUGGUACUGACAAUAUACUGUCUGCUUUUCACAGACAUGAAAAUAUAGCUUUUCUUCUGAUGACUUUACAGUCUGAAUUACCUUUAUGAGGCCCUAAAGUGGUGGUGAGAGGACUAUGAGUUCCAUACAACAAGUUGCUAAUGAG